GUCUAUGGCCAUACCACCUAAAUGCGCCCAAUCGCUUCUGAUCUUAGAAGCUAAGCAGGGUCGGCCCUUGUUAGUACUUAGGUGGGACAAUAUGGAGAUUAAGAAAUUGAUGAAA
rnacentral:rRNA from 1 species